rnacentral:rRNA from 1 species
UACAGAGACCUCAAGCGUUACUCGGAUUCACUGGGCGUAAAGGGUGUGUAGGCGGGCAGAUGUGUCGGUGGUGAAAUCCCGGGGCUUAACUCCGGAACUGCCAUCGAAACUAUCUGUCUAGAGACUUGGAGGGGUGAGCGGAAUUCCUGGUGUAGCGGUGAAAUGCGUAGAUAUCAGGAGGAACACCAAUGGCGAAGGCAGCUCACUGGACAAGUACUGACGCUGAAGCACGAAAGCGUGGGGAGCAAAAGGG